UACGAAGGGUGCAAGCGUUACUCGGAAUUACUGGGCGUAAAGCGUGCGUAGGUGGUUCGUUAAGUCUGAUGUGAAAGCCCUGGGCUCAACCUGGGAAUUGCAUUGGAUACUGGCGGGCUAGAGUGCGGUAGAGGAUGGCGGAAUUCCCGGUGUAGCAGUGAAAUGCGUAGAGAUCGGGAGGAACAUCAGUGGCGAAGGCGGCCAUCUGGGACAACACUGACGCUGAAGCACGAAAGCGUGGGGAGCAAACAGG
rnacentral:rRNA from 1 species